CUGCAGCCCGAGUGGUGAUCGAUUUUAUUGAGCCUAAAGCGUCCGUAGCCGGACUAGUAAACCCUUGGGUAAAUUGGGCAGCUUAACUGUACAAAUUCCGAGGGGACUGCUAGUCUUGGGACCGGGAGAGGUCAGAGGUACUCAAGGGGUAGGGGCUAAAUCCUGUAAUCCUUUGGGGACCACCAGUGGCGAAGGCGUCUGACUAGAACGGAUCCGACGGUAAGGGACGAAACCCUGGGGCGCGAACCGGAUUAGAUACCCGCGUAGUCC
rnacentral:rRNA from 1 species